GGUGUAGUAGCAUAGUGAUGUGAAGAUUCAGUAUAUUAAAUUAGUUCAUACUAGUGUUACUCCACUCAAUGCUUUUUGAUGUUAAGCCUGUACACUGUGCCAACUAUGAGGCACACUUCGGUUCAGGCACUAAAUUAACAGUUCUCGAGCCAGACAUCCCUGUCACUCCACCCAAAGUCAAAGUCCUUCCACCCUCCACUAAGGAGUGUGAAGAUAGAAACAAGAAGAAGAAGAAGACGUUGGUGUGUGUGGCCACCGACUUCUACCCCGACCACGUCACUGUGUUCUGGAAGUUAAAUGGAGGCGCCAACAUCACCGAUGGAGUGGGGACCGACAACACUGCCUUGAGGGAUGAAAACAGACGCUACAGUAUCACCAGCAGACUGAGAGUCCCAGCCAAGACAUGGAACACGGCCUCUAACAGAUUCACCUGCGCCAUCCGCUUCUUCAAUGGGACCGAUAACAUAUAUGUUGCAGAUCACAUUAACGGAGAAGGAGGUGGUGAUGGAGGGAUGACGACAGAGUACUACGUGAAGAGCACCCAGACUGCCAAGCUGGCCUACAGCAUCUUCAUCGCUAAGAGUACCUUCUACGGCCUGGUCGUCGUGGCUCUGAUUUGGAAGUUUCAGCGCUCCUCAGAUAAACAGAUGUAAUUGAUCCCUGACUGAGACCAGGCCACCUGUGGAAGCUGAACUCUGUGGACUGGAGGGAGUCAUGUGUGGCAUAAGGCUCUGGUGAAAAGUAGUGCACUUUAAAGUAGUGCACUAUAAAGUAGUGCACUAUAAAGUAGUGCACUAUAAAGGGAAUAGGAUGCCAUUUGGGACGAAGAACAAACCCAUUUCUAUCAUGUGAUUACAAUGUACAGUGUGCUGUCUAUUAUCUGUCACUUACUAGACAAUGUGAGGAUGUAUUUUAUCUAUCACUUACUAGACAAUGUGAGGAUGUAUUUUAUCUAUCACUUACUAGACAAUGUGAGGAUGUAUUUUAUCUAUCACUUACUAGACAAUGUGAGGAUGUAUU